rnacentral:tRNA from 1 species
GGUGGAUGUAGCUCAGUUGGUUAGAGCGCUGGAUUGUGGUUCCAGAGGUCGCCGGUUCAAGCCCGGUCUUCCACCC